GUGGAUUAGAUACCCUGGUAGUCCACGCCCUAAACGAUGAUGACUAGUUGUUGGAGGAGUUAAAUCCUUUAGUAACGCAGCUAACGCGAGAAGUCAUCCGCCUGGGGAGUACGGUCGCAAGAUUAAAACUCAAAGGAAUUGACGGGGGCCCGCACAAGCGGUGGAUGAUGUGGUUUAAUUCGACGCAACGCGAAAAACCUUACCUACCCUUGACAUGUACGGAACCUCAUAGAGAUGUGAGGGUGCCCGAAAGGGAGCCGUAACACAGGUGCUGCACGGCCGUCGCCAACU
rnacentral:rRNA from 1 species